UACGUAGGGUGCGAGCGUUGUCCGGAAUUACUGGGCGUAAAGGGAGCGUAGGCGGACUUUUAAGUGAGAUGUGAAAUACCCGGGCUCAACUUGGGUGCUGCAUUUCAAACUGGAAGUCUAGAGUGCAGGAGAGGAGAAUGGAAUUCCUAGUGUAGCGGUGAAAUGCGUAGAGAUUAGGAAGAACACCAGUGGCGAAGGCGAUUCUCUGGACUGUAACUGACGCUGAGGCUCGAAAGCGUGGGGAGCAAACAGGAUUAGAUACCCCCGGUAGUU
rnacentral:rRNA from 1 species